rnacentral:rRNA from 1 species
GGGGCGUUCGGAUAUUGGGCGUAAGAGCUCGUAGGCGGUUUGUCGCGUCUGCCGUGAAAGUCCGGGGCUCAACUCCGGAUCUGCGGUGGGUACGGGCAGACUAGAGUGAUGUAGGGGAGACUGGAAUUCCUGGUGUAGCGGUGAAAUGCGCAGAUAUCAGGAGGAACACCGAUGGCGAAGGCAGGUCUCUGGGCAUUAACUGACGCUGAGGAGCGAAAGCAUGGGGAGCGAACAGGAUUAGAUACCCUGGUAGUCCAUGCCGUAAACGUUGGGCACUAGGUGUGGGGGACAUUCCACGUUUUCCGCGCCGUAGCUAACGCAUUAAGUGCCCCGCCUGGGGAGUACGGCCGCAAGGCUAAAACUCAAAGGAAUUGACGGGGGCCCGCACAAGCGGCGGAGCAUGCGGAUUAAUUCGAUGCAACGCGAAGAACCUUACCAAGGCUUGACAUGGGCCGGACCGGGCUGGAAACAGUCCUUCCCCUUUGGGGCCGGUUCACAGGUGGUGCAUGGUUGUCGUCAGCUCGUGUCGUGAGAUGUUGGGUUAAGUCCCGCAACGAGCGCAACCCUCGUUCCAUGUUGCCAGCGCGUAAUGGCGGGGACUCAUGGGAGACUGCCGGGGUCAACUCGGAGGAAGGUGGGGACGACGUCAAAUCAUCAUGCCCCUUAUGUCUUGGGCUUCACGCAUGCUACAAUGGCCGGUACAAAGGGUUGCGAUACUGUGAGGUGGAGCUAAUCCCAAAAAGCCGGUCUCAGUUCGGAUUGGGGUCUGCAACUCGACCCCAUGAAGUCGGAGUCGCUAGUAAUCGCAGAUCAGCAACGCUGCGGUGAAUACGUUCCCGGGCCUUGUACACACCGCCCGUCAAGUCACGAAAGUUGGUAACACCCGAAGCCGGUGGCCUAACCCCUUGUGGGAGGGAGCUGUCGAUGUGGGACUGGCGAUUGGGACUAAGUCGUACAAGGUAAC